rnacentral:rRNA from 1 species
CCUACGGGUGGCAGCAGUGGGGAAUAUUGGGCAAUGGGCGCCAGCCUGACCCAGCAACGCCGCGUGAAGGAAGAAGGCUUUCGGGUUGUAAACUUCUUUUAAGGGGGAAGAGCAGAAGACGGUACCCCUUGAAUAAGCCACGGCUAACUACGUGCCAGCAGCCGCGGUAAUACGUAGGUGGCAGGCGUUGUCCGGAUUUACUUGGGGUAAAGGGCGUUCAUCAGGAGAGACAUGUCAGAUGUGAAAUCCACGGGCUCAACCCGUGAACUGCAGUUGAUACUGUGUCCCUUGAGUGUCGGAGAGGUAAUCGGAAUUCCUUGUGUAGCGGUGAAAUGCGUAGAUAUAAGGAAGAACACCAGUGGCGAAGGCGGAUUACUGGACGAUAACUGACGGUGAGGCGCGAAAGCGUGGGGAGCAAACAGGAUUAGAUACCCCUGUAGUC